rnacentral:rRNA from 1 species
AACGAACGUUAGCGGCGCGCUUAAUACAUGCAAGUCGUGCGAGAAAGGGCUUCGGCCCCGGUAAAGCGGCGCACGGGUGAGUAACACGUAGGUAAUCUACCCUCGGGUGGUGGAUAACCCUCCGAAAGGAGGGCUAAUACAGCAUAAGACCACGUUCACUAUGGUGGACGAGGCCAAAGCGGGCCUAUUCAUGAAAGCUCGCGCCUGAGGAGGAGCCUGCGGCCCAUCAGCUAGUUGGUAGAGUAAAAGCCUACCAAGGCUAAGACGGGUAGCUGGUCUGAGAGGAUGAACAGCCACACUGGAACUGAGACACGGUCCAGACUCCUACGGGAGGCAGCAGUAGGGAAUCUUGCGCAAUGGGCGAAAGCCUGACGCAGCGACGCCGCGUGAGCGAUGAAGGCCUUCGGGUUGUAAAGCUCUGUGGGGAGGGAAGAAUAAGGGCAGGCUAAUACCCUGUCUGAUGACGGUACCUCCUUAGCAAGCACCGGCUAACUCUGUGCCAGCAGCCGCGGUAAGACAGAGGGUGCAAACGUUGUUCGGAAUUACUGGGCGUAAAGCGGGUGUAGGCGGCCAGGCAAGUCGGAUGUGAAAGCCCGGGGCUCAACCCUGGAAGUGCAUUCGAAACUGCUUAACUAGAGUCCUGGAGAGGAAGGUGGAAUGCUUGGUGUAGAGGUGAAAUUCGUAGAUAUCAAGCAGAACACCGGUGGCGAAGGCGGCCUUCUGGACAGUGACUGACGCUGAGACCCGAAAGCGUGGGGAGCAAACAGGAUUAGAUACCCUGGUAGUCCACGCCG